rnacentral:rRNA from 1 species
CCUACGGGAGGCAGCAGUCGAGAGGCUUCGGCAAUGGGGGAAACCCUGACCGAGCGACGCCGCGUGAGCGAUGAAGCCCUUCGGGGUGUAAAGCUCUUUUGUGAGGGAAGAACUGCAACGGCCCAAUACGCUGUUGUUUGACGGUACCUUACGAAUAAGCUCCGGCUAACUCCGUGCCAGCAGCCGCGGUAAU